UACAGAGGGGGCAAGCGUUAUUCGGAAUUAUUGGGCGUAAAGGGUGCGUAGGCGGCGCGGUAAGUCGGGUGUGAAAUCUCGGAGCUUAACUCCGAAACUGCAUUCGAUACAGCCGUGCUUGAGGACUGGAGAGGAGACUGGAAUUUACGGUGUAGCGGUGAAAUGCGUAGAUAUCGUAAGGAAGACCAGUGGCGAAGGCGGGUCUCUGGACAGUUCCUGACGCUGAGGCACGAAGGUCAGGGGAGCAAACGGG
rnacentral:rRNA from 1 species